CUCCUUUCCCUCUCUCUGGACCUGACAGGGCUCUGCCUGCUGUGGGAGGUCUGGACCUGACGGGGCUCUGCCUGCUGUGGGAGGUCUGGAUCUGACGGGGCUCUGCCUGCUGUGGGAGGUCUGGACCUGACGGGGCUCUGCCUGCUGUGGGAGGUCUGGAUCUGACGGGGCUCUGCGUACUGUGGGAGGUCUGGAUCUGACGGGGCUCUGCCUGCUGUGGGAGGUCUGGAUCUGACGGGGCUCUGCCUGCUGUGGGAGGUCUGGACCUGACAGGGCGCUGCCGGCCUAUGCUAUCCUGCAUCUCAUGGGCCCAUGAAAGGUGUGAGGGGCAGGAAUGGGCGGACUUCUCUUUC